GAAAUUGAUCUGUCCCUGAUUUUAGGACAAGUUCAUGAGGCAGGACAUUCUUGGGUAAAAUAGCCUAGAAACCUUGAAAACCAAAUCCUCAUGUAAACAAUUACACCGCACCAAUGGACUAUGCUAGCGGAAAGAGGGCAUCCCCGCGGAGACAGGUCAGUCCAGGAAGGCUUCCCGAAGGAGGGGGUUCUCAGCUUGUCUCAAAGAGAUUCACGUGGGAGCAAAGGAUUGCUGGGCCAAGGACACCCAGAGAGAAAAAAGGGAUUAUGGAAAAUCCAGCAAGUUGUAACCAGCCAAUCUCACACUAAUGAUGUGAUCAAGAGAUGGACCUGUCUCCUGGCGAGGGGCCAUCGGCACUUGUCAACGCCCUCCGGUGUCCACGGGCAAGAGACAAAUCAGAAAUCACAGCCAUCCUGCUCCCGUCCCCAGAGGCGACCGCUGAAGAGGAGGGAGCCGUUUCUCGGGCGGCCUUCAUAUACAGCAUCGAUGCCAAAUAAUCACGUAAAUAAAUACAUGAGUACGAUAAGGACAGGAAGACAAAGGGAAGGGAGGAGAAGAAAAGAAAAAGCCAGGAACGGCUCCACCAGGAUAGGGACCUGCCUGCUUCCUUCCCCGCUAAGGCUUCCGCGUCGAGAUCAGCACCUGGCCCCGGUUCAGGACGGACAGACCUGCGAGCGCCAACACAGCCCGUCCCCACUCCUGUGGCGACAUAGGCCACACGGCUCUGCGGCUCACUUUUCUUGCUCCCUCAGCUGGGAGACCGUGUUUUCUCCACUCACACAGAGCUGCCUCGUUCCGGUGCUGCAGAGUCGGCCACGUGGCCGCAGCCGGGGACAUCUGGCCCAAUCCCGCAGGUGGAGACACGAUGGAACUGGUCUUUCCUCAGGUGUGUCUGUGAUUCUCCCCCUCUCCCGUCUCUCCCAGGAGCGUGGCCUGGAAGAGCUAGAAAACUCCGAUGGCCUGAACAUUAGCACGUGUGUCUGCGGACAUCAAGGAAGGCUUCUCGCAGGAGGGGCCCCGGAGCUGGGCCCUGAAAGUAGGGUCGGGGCUGCCAUGGAGGGGCAGCAAGGUGGAUGGUUUAGGGGCCACCUCUUGAGACGCACACCCUUCCUCAGAUGAGAAUGUGGAAAAGGCCAGCUCUGCAAACAGGGGAUGGACCCCCUUCCCACCCCCGACUACCCCCACCUCUCCCCACCCCCACCCCAUGCACAUGGCCCCCAGCCUGGCCUUCAAGAUUCCCCCAAGCAUCGUCUCUCCUCAUAGAGGCUGCGGGCAGUGGCUGCGGGAAUAUUAUUGCACAAACCGUGAAGGGGAAUGAAGGAUAUUUUCAGUUCGGAGCUCAGAUUCCCGGAUCACAGGUCCUCCCUUCCCGUUCUGCCUGCCAGGGUGGAGCUGGGUGGAUUAGUCUGGACAUUUCAGGCCACUGGCCACUGCUCUGGAGCAGGUCCUAGAGAGCCUUCUGUCUCUGUGCCUAGCGUGGACCCUUCACUUGCCGGAGCACAGAGUGGCCCAGGGUCUGGGGACUGACCCCAGAGUGGCCAGCGAGGCAGGCUCGUCACUCUGAGGCUCAAAGCAUAGGACACCAUCUGUGCCUGCUCGUGGGUAAGAGUUCAAGCCUCUGCACCAGCGUUACUGUGCGCCCUGCAGACAAUCUAACUCCGUGGGGAAAUGGAGGCUCAGAUGCUUUCCCAGGGAAGACGCUAGCUUGAUUCCAGAGGACGCAGGCUGGUGGCAGUGAAGCCAAGCCCAGGGAAAG
ensembl:lncRNA